rnacentral:rRNA from 1 species
UACGUAGGGACCGAGCGUUGUCCGGAAUCAUUGGGCGUAAAGAGCGUGUAGGCGGCCUUUUAAGUCCUGCGUGAAAUCCUGCGGCUCAACCGCAGACGGUCGUGGGAAACUGGAAGGCUAGAGUGCGGGAGAGGAGAGUGGAAUUCCCGGUGUAGCGGUGAAAUGCGCAGAUAUCGGGAAGAACACCGAUGGCGAAGGCAGCUCUGUGGGACGGUACUGACGCUGAGACGCGAAAGCGUGGGGAGCGAACAGG